rnacentral:tRNA from 1 species
GACUUGAUACUUUAAAUUAAAAGGUCUGACUUGCAUUCAGAUAAUAAGCUUAAUGGCUUUCGGGUCA